rnacentral:rRNA from 1 species
UCAGAAGAGAGAAUUCAAAGGAUGUGAAGCCAAUAGGAGCCCAAACGGGUGGAACCGUAAAGGUCGAAAGAGGGGAUUCAGCCGGCCGGUCUUCGGCGGCGGUGGGCUUGAACUUUGGUGUGUGAGAGGACCCGGGGUAAUAGUGAGUUGCCGUGGCACUGCCCCUGCUGUCAGGAGCGCUGGCCGGCUUACUUUUCCGUCGAGUAGUGGUCGUCGCGACCCGCCGGCCGGGCCCCGAUGGGCCGUGCUGGACUGUCAGCCUGUGCCUUACGGCGCAGGUGAGGACUGGCUGCGGUUCCGACUGGGCCUGGCCGGCGGUCACUGCAAGGAGGCCGCCCCAAAGCCGGCCCCUACUA